rfam:Schistosoma mattheei strain Denwood, Zambia genome assembly, scaffold: SMTD_scaffold0000236
AUUCAGCUGACGAGUCUCAAAUAGGACGAAGCCUGCGUUCUGGAU